UGUCUCCAUCCUCGUGGGGGUUUGGCAGGCUCUGAGUUCCCUUGGCAGGCGGGAUUCGGCCUCCGUCUCAAAACCUGGAGGUCUGGCAGAAUAGUGUGGACCUUCCGGUCAAGCCAGGCCUCCCUUCCUGCCGUUCAAAUCCCAGUCCCAGCCUCUUGCGGCUUCUGGCUUCUCCUGCUGCCUCUCCCGGCCCUUGAGCCCCGAGGACAGAACAGCAGGAGGCGUCCGCACAGCCCUGUCCCCGGCAGAGAAAGACGGCACAGAGCAUGAUUUCCUGGAGCCCAGUCAAGGAGCAGUUCCCUGGUGCCAGGAAACCCAGCGACGGAAACUGUGGCUGCGGGACCCAUCCACGGGACGUGCUGUCGGGAAUAAGCCCAGAGAGAGGAGGAGUGCGGCCGAACAGAAGGGCCAGACCUGCCCCGGGGGCGCCGACCAGGAGUGUUUACCGUGACAAGCGCUGUGCUGAUCCCGGGGACACAUUAGUGAAAGAAAACAGGCCUGAUGUGUGCUCACUAAUCGCGGAACGAUGUGUGCCUGCUGAGGCAGCCUCCCUUGGGAACCUUGGUGACAGAAGGGGAAGGCCCAGAGGAGAGUAUGACCAAAAGGCCAUGUGGUGAGGAGAGAGGAGGAAAGUUACUCCUUCGUUCAUUCAGAUAAUACUGAGCAUCUAUGUGACUGAAAUGCCGGAGAUCCAGCAAAGCGAUACCCAGCUCUUGGCCUUGGAGACUCAGUAGUGUCAGUGGAGGGAUUGAGUGAGACAUUUAUGGAGAGUGCUGAACACGGUGCCUGACGCACAGAGUGCAUUAGCAUCAGUAGCCUCCCGGCCUAGCCCGGUCAGAGGUCAGCAGAUGACGGGCUGGGAGGAAAUAUGGCUGUCCUUCGGUGUGGCUGCCCCCAGGCCGGGGUGAGGACCGUAUUCCAAGCUCUGAGUGAUGCCCGUCAUUUAUGAUGCCAUCCUCUGAAUAGAUCAUUCCUUAUUUCCCAGAGGGGGGUGAUUUACGCCCAAACUUACAGAUGCAGAAAAGGAGUGAGAAGGUGAGCUGAAUCGACCUGUAAACCAAAAUUCACAUACAAGUAAUAUGAAGAAUAAACAAGCAUUUAAAAAAUGUUCACUCUUCUUCUUUUUUUAAUGUUUAUUUUUAUUUUUGACAGACAGCACAAGCAGGGGAAGGGGGAGGGGCAGAGAGAGAGAGGGGACAGAGGAUCUGCAGUGGGGUCUGACCGAAGAGAGCCCGAUGCAGGGCUCGAACCCGCAAACUGCCGAGAUCGUGACCUGAGCCCGAGUCAGAAGCUCAACCGACUGAGCCACCCCGGCGCCCCCCAAAAUGUUCAUUCUUAAUUCUGUCCAAGGGAAUUACAACAACUUACAUCAAUCACCUAAGGAAAAAAAAAUUAUGCAAUGAUGCCCGAUUCUAGUGAGGUUGGGUCGAAAAAUCAUAUACACAAACACUGCUUGUGACCACCCAAAUUCUUACAAACUUCGGGGAUGAUGUGACAAUUUAUUGUUGCACCCUGGUAUUCCCGAGAAAAGAAUGUUGAAGGAAGGAAUAGGCGUAAGCAGAGAUGUUUGCUGUAUCAGUGUCUGUCGGGGCAAGCACCUGGGUAACCCUCAGAGGAUCAUUUACAGGGGACCGGUAGGUGAAGCAGGGACAUCAAUGGACUUGUCAACAGUGUCAGUGAUGGAGGUCUCGUUGAAACAUGCAAGAUGUUUAUUACACAAUUACCAGGAAAGUAAAAUGUGACCUGGAAUUUACUCUGCGAAAGCAAAAGUGUCACGUGUGGGUAAAUGUGAGCGAGGGCAGGGAGGCAAAAAGAAAGAGUCGUUGUGGCGGGGGUGGGGGAGGGGCUGUGGGUGGCUUCGGAUGUUGUUGUUGAAUUGAGUCACUAUUUCUAGGGCACACUAUAAGUGGCCGGGAGCAGUCCCCUCACCCUGGGAUUUCAUACCCAGAUUCCUUCCUGCCAAGCUGCCCAGCCUCUCUCUGGCUUUCCGGCAGCCAGAUCACCCCAGCAGGCCAAUACCGCUUCCGUGCUAGCCUCAAGGUGCAAACACACAUAAUGGCCUCUUGUCUGGCCUCCGAAAGAGGACUGGUCUUCACCAGGGACUUCCAGGAAGCCAAAGCACUCCAAUCUGGACUGGAAGCUUCUCCCUUGAGGUGCUUUCCGGCACUGGUCAGCAGGGGCUGGUCUUGCAAAAUGGCUCCUGAGAGCACUUUCCAUAGAGGCAGAGAGCCCUGCACGGGAGGGAGGCUGCGUGAGUCCUAAUGGGGCUGAUGGGAGUCCCAUUAAGU